AGGUAAGCUACUAAGAGCGAAUGGUGGAUGCCUUGACUGGUAAAGGCGAUGAAGGACGUACUAGACUGCGAUAAGCUACGGGGAGCUGUCAAGAAGCUUUGAUCCGUAGAUUUCCGAAUGGGGCAACCCAAUGUAUAGAGAUAUACAUUACCUAUAUAGGAGCGAACGAGGGGAAUUGAAACAUCUUAGUACCCUCAGGAAAAGAAAUCAAUAGAGAUUGCGUCAGUAGCGGCGAGCGAAAGCGCAAGAGGGCAAACCCAGUGCUUGCACUGGGGGUUGUAGGACUGCAAUGUGCAAGAGGUAAGUUUAGCAGAACAUUCUGGAAAGUAUAACCAUAGAGGGUGAUAGUCCCGUAUGCGAAAAACAAACCUUAGCUAGCAGUAUCCUGAGUAGGGCGGGACACGAGGAAUCCUGUCUGAAUCCGGGUCGACCACGAUCCAACCCUAAAUACUAAUACCAGAUCGAUAGUGCACAAGUACCGUGAGGGAAAGGUGAAAAGAACUGAGGUGAUCAGAGUGAAAUAGAACCUGAAACCAUUUGCUUACAAUCAUUCAGAGCCCUAUGUAGCAAUACAGGGUGAUGGACUGCCUUUUGCAUAAUGAGCCUGCGAGUUGUGGUGUCUGGCAAGGUUAAGCAAACGCGAAGCCGUAGCGAAAGCGAGUCUGAAUAGGGCGCUUAGUCAGAUGCUGCAGACCCGAAACGAAGUGAUCUAUCCAUGAGCAAGUUGAAGCUAGUGUAAGAACUAGUGGAGGACUGAACCCAUAGGCGUUGAAAAGCCCCGGGAUGACUUGUGGAUAGGGGUGAAAGGCCAAUCAAACUUCGUGAUAGCUGGUUCUCUCCGAAAUAUAUUUAGGUAUAGCGUUGUGUCGUAAUAUAAGGGGGUAGAGCACUGAAUGG
rnacentral:rRNA from 1 species